rnacentral:rRNA from 1 species
UACGGAGGGGGCUAGCGUUGUUCGGAAUUACUGGGCGUAAAGCGCACGUAGGCGGAUAUUUAAGUCAGGGGUGAAAUCCCGGGGCUCAACCCCGGAACUGCCUUUGAUACUGGGUAUCUGGAGGUCGAGAGAGGCGAGUGGAAUUCCGAGUGUAGAGGUGAAAUCCGUAGAUAUUCGGAGGAACACCAGUGGCGAAGGCGGCUCGCUGGCUCGAUACUGACGCUGAGGUGCGAAAGCGUGGGGAGCAAACAGG